rnacentral:rRNA from 1 species
CCUACGGGUGGCAGCAGUGGGGAAUAUUGCACAAUGGGGGCAACUCUGAUGCAGCAACGCCGCGUGAAGGAAGACGGCUUUCGGAUUGUAAAAUUCUGUUCGUAGUGAAGAAUACUGACGGUAGCUAAGCAGCAAGCCAGUGCCAACUAAGUACCAGCAGCCGCAGUAAUAGGUAGGUGGCACGCGUUGUCCGGAUUUACUGGGUGUAAAGGGAGCGCAGGCGGGAAGACAAGUCAGCUGUGAAAACUACGGGCUUAACUUGUAGACUGCAGCUGAUACUGGUUGACUAGAGAAUAGUUGCGGUAGGCGGAAUGCGUGGUGUAGCGGUGAAAUGCAUAGAGAUCACGCAGAACUCCGAUUGCGAAGGCAGCUUACCAAGCUACAUCUGACACUGAAGCACGAAAGCGUGGGGAUCAAACAGGAUUAGAUACCCGAGUAGUC